CACGUAGGAGGCGAGCGUUGUCCGGAAUCAUUGGGCGUAAAGAGCGCGCAGGCGGCUUGGCAAGUCGGGUGUGAAAUCCCUGGGCUCAACCCAGGAACUGCGUCCGAUACUGGAAGGCUUGAAUCCGGGAGAGGGAUGCGGAAUUCCAGGUGUAGCGGUGAAAUGCGUAGAUAUCUGGAGGAACACCGGUGGCGAAGGCGGCAUCCUGGACCGGUAUUGACGCUGAGGCGCGAAAGCCAGGGGAGCAAACGGG
rnacentral:rRNA from 1 species